UACAGAGGGUGCGAGCGUUAAUCGGAAUUACUGGGUGUAAAGCGCGUGUAGGUGGUGGGCCAAGUCUGUGGUGAAAUCGCCCGGCUCAACUGGGCGAGGUCCGUGGAAACUGGUCGACUGGAGGACGGUAGAGGCGAGUGGAAUUCCCGGUGUAGUGGUGAAAUGCGUAGAGAUCGGGAGGAACACCAGUGGCGAAGGCGGCUCGCUGGGCCGGUCCUGACACUGAGACGCGAAGGCGUGGGGAGCGAACGGG
rnacentral:rRNA from 1 species